rnacentral:rRNA from 1 species
UACGGAGGGUGCAAGCGUUAUCCGGAUUCACUGGGUUUAAGGGGUGCGUAGGUGGGCAAGUAAGUCAGUGGUGAAAUCUCCGGGCUUAACCCGGAAACUGCCAUUGAUACUAUUUGUCUUGAAUACUGUGGAGGUCAGCGGAAUAUGUCAUGUAGCGGUGAAAUGCUUAGAUAUGACAUAGAACACCAAUUGCGAAGGCAGCUGGCUACACAAAUAUUGACACUGAGGCACGAAAGCGUGGGGAUCAAACAGG